CUUCACCAAACCCUUAUUUUUUCGUUCUCUCCGAAAUUCCUUCUGAACCUGUAUUCACUGAUUCUCGUGUUGUUGGUUCGUAAGCCUUCUCCAAGAUAUGGAGGUCUUCGUUUAAAACUGUUUGGAUUGGUGUGCUGCCUAGCAACAUACAUACAUAUAUGACAUGGAAGAUGGGGGACGGAGAGCUCCCUCAAUUUGUGUCUAUUUGUAUUUUCCCAAAAACUUGGACAAGAUUUGAUGUCAUGGAGAUUAUUUUGCGAUGUUGGAAUAGGUGGUCUCGGAACUAUAGAAACAUUUAGAAAGAAAGCAAAAAGAACUUGAAGAAGAAGAAGAAGAGAAGGAUACACCAUAACAAAUGAAAAAGGAAUCGACAUCGGAAAAAGAAGAACCAAAGAACGACACAAAUUAACCAAACGUAAAAAAGAAGAAUCGAGAUAAAGUCAUCAAACGGAAAAAGAAGAACCGACACAGCAUGAAAAACAAAAACAAGUAAGAAAAACCAAACACAAGUAAGAUUAUCCAAUAAAAA